UCGAAAUUACAAUCCGGCGAGAGGAACGGAGGACUGCUGUCGCUGGUCCAUCUGGGCAUGUGCACGCUUUCUUCCCUACUUUCGUCGUAUGGGCGUGGGGCCACCCCCCGCGUCUUCAUGCGCCCCUUCGUGUAGAAAGUCUUUGAAUGUUUUUACUAUCAUCGAGUCGCGACUUCUAGGAGACGCGAUUCUUUGAGACAAAAGUUAUCA
rnacentral:misc_RNA from 1 species